rnacentral:misc_RNA from 1 species
AACGCACGAGACCUGCGGACCUGCGGAAGGAUCAUUACAGAGUGUCUGAGAUCGUAAGAUCUCUACCUCCCACCCUUGUGUAAAGAGUCUUUGCUACUCUUGCCCCGGCUUCUGUCGGGGCAAACUUUACAACUCUUGAUUUUGGUUGUCUGAGAACAAAAGCAAAAAUCAAAACUUUUAACAACGGAUCUCU